CCUACGGGAGGCAGCAGUGGGGAAUAUUGGUCAAUGGACGAAAGUCUGAACCAGCCACGUAGCGUGAAGGAUGACUGCCCUAUGGUUUUUAAACUUCUUUUAUAUGGGAGUAAAAUGUUCCACGUGUGGAGUUUUGUAUGUACCAUAUGAAUAAGGAUCGGCUAACUCCGUGCCCGCAGCCGCGGUAAUUCGGAGGAUCCGCGCGUUAUCCGGGUUUAUUGGGUUUAAAGGGAGCGUAGGUGGAUUGUUAAGUGAGUUGUGAAAGGUUGCGGCUCAACCGUAAGAUUGCAGUUGAAACUGGUAGUCUUGAGUACAGGAGAGGUGGGCGGAAUUCGUGGUGUAGCGGUGAAAUGCUUAGAUAUAACGAAGAACACCGAUUGCGAAGGCAGCUCACUGGACUGCAACUGACACUGAGGCUCGAAAGUGUGGGGAUCAAACAGGAUUAGAUACCCCGGUAGUC
rnacentral:rRNA from 1 species